GGGUGUCGAGACGCUUAAAGGGACCGGUCCCCAAAGAGGAGAGAGAUUUAAAGGUGCAGGCUGCCGGGCUGUCGCCGGCCAGGGGGCGCCGAGCUCGGUGCGCGGGAGACCUACGUAAAGUGGUAGGUGCUCGGGAGAGCAGGACGCUUUAAGGAGACCAGAGCCAAGCUUGUGAAGAGGCUGGGAUGGGGUGAGAACACGUCCGUUGAAGGCAGGGAUAAAGGAGUCGCUUGUCAAGGGCCCGGCGAGGUCUCCCUCUAAGGAGAAAAGAACAUGCACUCCUGCUCUCCCCCAAUGUCCUUUCUGGCUCCUCCAGGCUCCCUUGACCCCGGACCCCCCUGUUCCCAGGCUAUGGCCCCCAGUGCCCUGUAGACCUGGCGCGACUCCCGUGCUUUCGACCCCUAUUUGGGGCCCUGGGUGGCUACUGGAGGGCCUUGCGGAGGGGCAGAGAAGGCAGGACCAUGGCAUCUAGGGCCUCUGAACCUCCCUCAGGGCGCAGCGUGACGGCGGGCAUCAUCAUCGUUGGAGAUGAGAUCCUCAAGGGACACACUCAGGACACCAACACCUACUUUCUCUGCCGGACACUGCGCUCCCUGGGGGUCCAGGUGUGCCGGGUCUCCGUCGUACCCGACGAGGUGGCCACCAUCGCGGCAGAGGUCACUUCUUUCUCCAGCCGCUUCACCCACGUCCUCACGGCAGGGGGCAUCGGCCCCACUCACGAUGAUGUGACCUUUGAGGCGGUAGCACAGGCCUUCGGGGAUGAGCUCAAGCCGCACCCCGAGCUGGAAGCGGCCAUCCGAGCCCUCGGAGGGAAGGGCUGCGAGAAGCUGUCCGUAGUGCCCUCCUCCGCCCGCCUGCAUUACGGCACAGACCCUCGCACGGGCCGGCCCUUCAAGUUCCCGCUGGUCUCCGUCCGAAAUGUCUACCUCUUCCCAGGCAUUCCCGAGCUGCUGCGGAGGGUGCUGGAGGGGCUGAAGGGGCUGUUCCGCAACACGGCGGUGCAGUUCCACCUGCGGGAGCUGUACGUGGCCGCCGACGAGGCCUCCAUCGCCCCCGUGCUGGCUGAGGCGCAGGCCCGCUUUGGGCGCAGGCUCAGCCUGGGCUCCUACCCCGACUGGGGCAGCAACUACUAUCGGGUGAAGCUGUCGCUGGACGCGGAGGAAGAAGGGCCGCUGGAGGAGUGCCUGGCCUACCUGACUGCCCGUCUGCCCCCGGGAUCGCUGGUCCCCUACGUGCCCGACGCCGUGGGGCAGGCCAGGGAGGCUGUCUACCAGCUCGCAGAAUCAGUAAACGUCAACCGGGUGCCCGCUCCUGCCAGCACUGUGCUGGGUACUGCGGACCGAGCUCAACAGGACAGUGUGUUACACACCACGGCCUUCUGGGCCGGCAGUGUAACAAGAAAGGGUCUCCUCUGGGGGGGAAGGUGGCAGGCGCCCUGCAGACCAUUGAGACCGCCCUGGCUCAGUACGACCUCAGCCACCUUUGCGUGGGCUUCAAUGGAGGCAAGGACUGCACGGCCCUCCUGCACCUCUUCCACGCGGCCGUGCAGAGUCCAUCCAGGAGCAGAGAGAACAGUGUGCGAGCUCUCUGGGGAGCAUCGCUCUGCCAAGCCUGUGCGUCCUCCCCUCCCCAGGACACGCCCCGAUACUCAGGAGCCCCUCCAGAUCCUGUACAUCCGCAACAUCUCCCCCUUCCCCGAGCUGGAGCAGUUCCUACAGGACACCAUCAAGAGGUAUAACCUGCAGGUGCUGGAGGCCGAGGGCCACAUGAAGCAGGCCCUGUGUGAGCUGCAGGCCCGGCACCCCCGGCUGGAGGCCGUCCUGAUGGGCACCCGCCGCACCGACCCCUACUCCUGCAGCCUCCACCCCUUCAGCCCCACGGACCCUGGCUGGCCUGCCUUCGUGCGCGUCAACCCGCUGCUGGUCUGCGCUGCCCAGGAUGGCAGCCACUAGCCUUUUAUCGAUACUCAAAUUACAACCUACUGAAAUGAAAGAAAGAAUGACCCAAAACCACUGAGUGGUGCGCUCAAAGUGUGACGAAUUCUGUGGUGUGUGUGUUAUAUCUUAAUUUUAAAAAUUAAAUACCGUUCAGAAUUCGCUUCUUCAGAGGCACUAACCCCAUUUCCAGCCGCGGCCACGUUAGACGGCCCAGCUGGAGACGCAGCGGGCUGCGUGGACUCCUGGACACAACCACGUCUGUCCUGGAGCACGCCGGUCCCUGGGGGGUGGCUUGGGGGCAAAGGGAGGCGGGCAAAGGUUUCCCAUUUUGCGUCGCGUGGCCGCACCCAGCAGGCUGUGCCGGAGAAUCCCAGAGAAUCCCAGAGAAUCCCAGAGAAUCCCACAGGAGGCCUCCCUCAGAGCCCGGGAAGCAGAAGAGCUCUAGGCGGGCCCCUGCCCAGGCGGCAGGCCGCAGUGUGGGAGGGGGGACUUUGUGACCCCACUCUGACCCCCAGGACUGGACCUACAGAGACAUCUGGGACUUCCUGCGGCAGCUGUUUGUCCCGUACUGUGUCCUAUAUGACCGAGGCUACACGUCGCUGGGGGGCCGCGAGAACACCGUGAGGAACCCGGCCCUGAAGUGCCUGAGCCCGGGGGGCCAGCCCACCUACCGGCCAGCCUACCUCCUGGAGAACGAAGACGAG